ensembl:lncRNA
GACUAAACCAGGACUAAACAAGGUCUAAACCAGGACUAAACCAGGACUAAACCAGGACUAAACCAGGACUAAACCAGGUCUAAACCAGGACUAAACCAGGACUAAACCAGGUCUAAACAAGGACUAAACCAGGACUAAACCAGGACUAAACCAGGUCUAAACAAGGACUAAACCAGGACUAAACCAGGACUAAACCAGGACUAAACCAGGACUAAACCAGGACUAAACCAGGUCUAAACCAGGACUAAUCCAGGACUAAACCAGGACUAAACAAGGACUAAACCAGGACUAAACCAGGACUAAACAAGGACUAAACCAGGACUAAACCAGGACUAAACCAGGACUAAACAAGGACUAAACCAGGACUAAACCAGGACUAAACCAGGUCUAAACCAGGACUAAACCAGGACUAAACCAGGUUUAAACCAGGACUAAACCAGGUCUAAACCAGGACUAAACCAGGACCAAACCAGGACCAAACCAGGACUAAACCAGGUCUAAACCAGGACUAAACCAGGACUAAACCAGGUCUAAACCAGGACUAAACCAGGACUAAACCAGGAC